rnacentral:rRNA from 1 species
UACGUAGGGUGCGAGCGUUGUCCGGAAUUAUUGGGCGUAAAGAGCUCGUAGGCGGUGUGUCACGUCGGCCGUGAAAACCUGGGGCUUAACUCUGGGCGUGCGGUCGAUACGGGCAUCACUAGAGUUCGGCAGGGGAGACUGGAAUUCCUGGUGUAGCGGUGAAAUGCGCAGAUAUCAGGAAGAACACCCGUGGCGAAAGCGGCUCUCUGGAACGGUACUGACGCUGAGACGCGAAAGCGUGGGGAGCGAACAGG